AUUGAACGCUGGCGGCAUGCCUUACACAUGCAAGUCGAACGGCAGCACGGGAGCUUGCACCUGGUGGCGAGUGGCGAACGGGUGAGUAAUAUAUCGGAACGUACCUUAUUGUGGGGGAUAACGCAGCGAAAGCUGUGCUAGUACCGCAUAAUCCCUAAGGGGGAAAGCGGGGGACCGUAAGGCCUCGCGCGAUUAGAGCGGCCGAUACCUGAUUAGCUAGUUGGUGAGGUAAAGGCUCGCCAAGGCAACGAUCAGUAGCUGGUCUGAGAGGACGAUCAGCCACACUGGGACUGAGACACGGCCCAGACUCCUACGGGAGGCAGCAGUGGGGAAUUUUAGACAAUGGGGGCAACCCUGAUCCAGCAAUGCCGCGUGAGUGAAGAAGGCCUUCGGGUUGUAAAGCUCUUUUGUCAGGGAAGAAACAGCAGCUCUAACACAGUUUGCGAAUGACGGUACCUGAAGAAUAAGCACCGGCUAACUACGUGCCAGCCGCCGCCGUAA
rnacentral:rRNA from 1 species